AGGAUGUUGUUGAGGCUCCCCAGAGGAUCCACAAUAGUCAUGUCUCUCUCCUGUGUGAAUAAGAACAUCAAACAGAUGGUGCCUGAGAGCUGUGACUGCGCCAAGGGCUAACGUAUUGUGUGUUGUCUCUUCGUGUGCAGCAAGGUGCCUGAGAGCUGUGACUGCGCCAAGGGCUAAAGUAUUGUGUGUUGUCUCUUCGUGUGCAGGGCAAAUAAAAAUAAUUCAAC